UGGGCAGUAGCUCGGUGGUAGUGCUCCCCGCUUCGUAUGUGGGAAGACCUGGGUUCGAUUCCCGGUUGCUUAC
rnacentral:tRNA from 1 species